GGUUUCGAUCUCGACCGAAGUCAUUGUGAGGAGGGGCUGAGGGCGGGGCCAAUGGCAAAGGAGCAGGGGAAGAUUUUUUUCAUUGGAGAAGUCCAAUGCCUAAGCUUUCCUAUUCGGUCACUUGGUUCGAGGCCCGCUCAGCCGCCAAAGGAGACGGAGAUGGAGGAGGAUGGAGGAGGCCCAUCUCCGUGGGCCAGCGAAGGCGGAGGAGGCAUGGGGGAAAGCCACGGAGAAGCCGCGGGCUGUCGGAGAGAAGGGCGGGGAGGGGGAGCCUGUAGAGGAGAAGCCGCGGGCUGUGCCCAUGG
rnacentral:lncRNA from 1 species